CAUCACAUGACCUCAGGCAGGUAAUCACUGGGACAAAACUCUAGUAAUACCGAGGACGCAAAAAAGAACAAUUCUGAAUGCUGGUCGUGUUGUGAGUGGAAUGGGUUAAACUUACAGAAAGUAAGGAGACAGGGUCAAGAGGAGGGGAACAUUUUAUCAAUGAAUUGUGGAAUAUUUCACACACAGGACAGAACUUCGCAUACCCAUAUUCUGUCAAUUUCACAGUGUGGACUGUCUGAAUUAUCCAAUUUAAG